CUGAGCUGUGCGUCCCAGUCUGACACUGCUUUUGUCCCAUCUGAUAGCGCAAGCACCAGGAGAUUCGGGCCAUGAGAAGUCAGCUGAAGAAGAUUGAGGACCUGGGGGCUGCCAUGGAGGAAGCCCUCAUCCUGGACAACAAGUACACUGAGCACAGCACUGUGGGCCUGGCCCAGCAGUGGGACCAGUUAGACCAGCUGGGCAUGCGCAUGCAGCACAACCUGGAGCAGCAGAUCCAGGCCAGGUACCAGGGUGUGGACCAGAGUUGGGGGCCUAGAGCGCCAUUGUUAACAAGGGUCUGGCACAGGAGGGGAAACAAGCCACUCCUGCAUGGACCGCCUGCUCUACUUUUGUUCUUCUUUUAGGAACACAACAGGAGUCACUGAGGAGGCCCUCAAGGAGUUCAGCAUGAUGUUCAAACACUUCGACAAGGACAAGUCUGGCCGGCUGAAUCAUCAAGAGUUCAAAUCCUGCCUUCGUUCUCUGGGUUACGACCUGCCAAUGGUUGAGGAAGGAGAGCCUGAUCCUGAGUUUGAGGCCAUACUGGACACUGUUGAUCCCAACAGGUAAUCUAAAGGGGCAGUGAUGGACAAAGCCCUCACCCCCUCUGCCCUCUUUGCUUACUGCACCUGCCUCCCAUAGGGACGGCCACGUCUCCCUGCAAGAGUACAUGGCUUUCAUGAUCAGCCGUGAAACCGAGAAUGUCAAGUCCAGUGAAGAGAUCGAGAGUGCUUUCCGGGCCCUCAGCUCCGAGGGCAAGCCUUAUGUGACCAAG
rnacentral:lncRNA from 1 species